ACGGCCAUACAAAACGGUGAAAACACCGAUCACCGAAGUUAAGCAACGUUUGGCCUGGUCAGUACUUGGGAGGGUGACCACUUGGGAGUUCUGUUGGUUAAUUC